AUCCAGCUGACGAGUCCUAAAUGGGACGAAACACUCGUCAAAUUGGAU
rnacentral:hammerhead_ribozyme from 1 species